rnacentral:lncRNA from 1 species
AGGUGCUGAAUGUGAGUCUGGAGUAUCUGGUCUCACUGCUGGACAUGCAUCUGUCUGUGGAUGACAUGAGCUCAGCUGAGAGCUGGAAACUCUUCCUGACCAGAGUCUCACACCUGCUGGACGUCGCCCUCGAGCAGCUCUCCAACCAGUCGGUGUGGGGGAGCAGCAGCUCUGCUUCAGUGGUGCUGGACGUCCUGCGGGAGCUGCGGCUGGACAGACUGAUGGACGAGAGCGCCGCUGCGCUGUGGCUUGAUGAACACCUGCGAGCGUUCCUGCCGAGCGCCUCCGGGACCUUCCUGCAGUGCCUGCGCAGCCAGAACUUCAGCUGCCAGAGCUUCCAGACAGUGGUUGGAGCGUUCGAUGCAGGAUUUCUCCGCAUGAAUGACGUUCAGCGCCGAAUAACCGUGUCACACUUCAUCAUCCCGUUCCUCUCGAGAGCAGGUGCGGCGUGUGUGUCCAACGACAGCUCUCAGUGGCUCAUCAGUAACUUCAGACAGUUCUCUGCUCUCGUUCCUCUGAAUCAGCUGAUCUCGCUCAACCCACAGUUCAACCCGAUGAGCGGCCUGCUCUAUCUCUCUCCAGAGCAGCUGGUCGGGCUGAUGUUUGAUGAUGUUCCUGGGCUUCCAGAGAAAAGUGUGGUCAUCAAUGCCGUGUUCGAUCACCUGACCGCGUCUCCACAGAAAGAGAGGAUCCUCUCCACGCUUCCCAUCAUGGUGGAGUCAUCAAAGACGGUAAAAUAGUUUUUCAGUGCA